rnacentral:siRNA from 1 species
GCCAUGAAAUAUUCCGAGAAUUAC